rnacentral:rRNA from 1 species
AACCCACUUCUUUUUGAAGUAUUUUACACUGAAUACAUAGGUGUAAAAAGCAAACCUGGUGAACUGAAACAUCUCAGUAACCAGAGGAAAGGAUAUCAACAGAUACUCUGCUAGUAGCGGCGAGCGAACGCGGACCAGGCCAGUAAUUAAAGCUUAAUAAUCAGAAAUACCUGGAAAGGUAUACCAUAGAUGGUGAUAGUCCAGUAUGAGUAAAAAGAGUUUUAGUUCUCGAGUAGGNNNNNNNNNNAAGUACCGUGAGGGAAAGGUGAAAAAUACCCCCAUGAGGGGAGUGAAAUAGAUCUGAAAUUGUAUGCUUACAAGCAGUCGAAGGAGGUUUAUCCUCUGACGGCGUACCUUUUGUAUAAUGGGUCAGCGAGUUAAUUUGAAUAGCAAGCUUAAACCGUUAGGUGUAGGCGUAGCGAAAGCAAGUUCGAAAGAGCAAUUAGUUAUUUGAAUUAGACCCGAAACCGAGUGAUCUAGCCAUGGGCAGGUUGAAGGUAAAGUAAAAUUUACUGGAGGACCGAACACACUAAUGUUGAAAAAUUAGGUG